rnacentral:ncRNA from 1 species
CAUCCCGAGGAGCGCUGCGAGGAGCGGUUCAGCAACCGCAUCCCCAGGCUCGGGAGGCGUGGAGACGCAAAGUCUGCGACACAACGGCGCUCACCUGAC